rnacentral:rRNA from 1 species
UUCGGAUGAUUGAUUGGUGACUGAGUGGCGGACGGGUGAGUAACGCGUGGGUAACCUGCUCUGUACAGGGGGAUAACAGUUGGAAACGGCUGCUAAUACCGCAUAAGCGCACAGUGCCGCAUGGCACAGUGUGAAAAACUCCGGUGGUAUGAGAUGGACCCGCGUCUGAUUAGCUGGUUGGCGGGGUAACGGCCCACCAAGGCGACGAUCAGUAGCCGGUCUGAGAGGAUGAACGGCCACAUUGGAACUGAGACACGGUCCAAACUCC